UACGGGGGGAGCAAGCGUUGCUCGGAAUCACUGGGCGUAAAGCGCGCGUAGGUGGCUUCGUAAGUCCGUUGUGAAAGUCAAAGGCUCAACCUUUGAAAGCCGAUGGAUACUGCGAAGCUAGAGUACGGAAGAGGCGAGUGGAAUUCCUGGUGUAGCGGUGGAAUGCGCAGAUAUCAGGAGGAACACCAAUAGCGAAGGCAGCUCGCUGGGACGUUACUGACACUGAGGCGCGAAAGCGUGGGGAGCGAACAGG
rnacentral:rRNA from 1 species